rnacentral:rRNA from 1 species
UACAGAGGUCCCGAGCGUUGUUCGGAUUCAUUGGGGCGUAAAGGGUGCGUAGGCGGCUUUUCUAAGUCCGGUGUGAAAUCCUGGGGCUCAACCCCUGGAACUGCAUUGGAUACUGGGAGGCUAGAGACUGGAGAGGAACUGGAAUUACGGUGUAGCAGUGAAAUGCGUAGAGAUCGUAAGGAAGACCAGUGACGAAGGCGAGUUUCUGG